rnacentral:misc_RNA from 1 species
AAGUCGUAACAAGGUCUCCGUAGGUGAACCUGCGGAGGGAUCAUUAACACGUAAAUCCACGUAUCAACCCAACCGCGAACUUGUAUUUGUCCAUCUCUGUUUUCCUAUAAGCCGAAAGGGAAUGCGGUGCCAGUUGGCCUUCGGGCGGACUGGGUCCCUUUCGGAAUGCACAGGACUCAGAGGUGUCAGUCCACCGUUUUUGUUGUACCCCUUUUUUAACUCAUUAAUACAUCUUAUGUUCUAAUUAAUUCUUAUUAGAAGCGGGCUAAUGCUCACUUCGAAAAGACUAAAAAAUCUAAA